rnacentral:rRNA from 1 species
CAAAGGAAUUGACGGGGCCGCACAAGCGGUGGAGCAUGUGGUUUAAUUCGAAGUCAACGACGAAGAACCUUACCAGGUCUUGACAUCCCGAUGCUAUUUCUAGAGAUAGAAAGUUACUUCGGUACGAUCGGUGACAGGUGGUGCAUGGUUGUCGUCAGCUCGUGUCGUGAGAUGUUGGGUUAAGUCCCGCGACGAGCGCAACCCCUAUUGUUAGUUGCCAUCAUUCAGUUGGGCACUCUAGCGAGACUGCCGGUAAUAAACCGGAGGAAGGUGGGGAUGACGUCAAAUCAUCAUGCCCCUUAUGGCCUGGGCUACAAACGUAAUACAAUGGCGUAUACAAAGGGAUGCGAAAGGGCGACCUGGAGCAAAACUCACAAAGUACGUCUCAGUUCAGAUUGGAGUCUGCAACUCGACUCCAUGAAGGCGGAAUCGCUAGUAAUCGCGGAUCAGCAUGCCGCGGUGAAUACGUUCUCGGGGUUU